UACGUAGGGUGCGAGCGUUAAUCGGAAUUACUGGGCGUAAAGCGUGCGCAGGCGGUUUUGUAAGCCAGAUGUGAAAUCCCCGGGCUUAACCUGGGAAUGGCAUUGGAAACUGGCGGGCUUGAGUGUGGCAGAGGGGGUGGAAUUCCGCGUGUAGCAGUGAAAUGCGUAGAGAUGCGGAGGAACACCGAUGGCGAAGGCAGCCCCCUGGGCUGACACUGACGCUCAGGCACGAAAGCGUGGGGAGCAAACAGG
rnacentral:rRNA from 1 species